rnacentral:rRNA from 1 species
AACGAACGCUGGCGGCAUGCCUAACACAUGCAAGUCGAACGGCAGCACGGGAGCUUGCUCCUGGUGGCGAGUGGCGGACGGGUGAGUAAUGCAUAGGAAUCUGCCCAGUAGCGGGGGACAACUUGGGGAAACUCAAGCUAAUACCGCAUGCGCCCUACGGGGGAAAGCGGGGGACCUUCGGGCCUCGCACUAUUGGAUGAGCCUAUGUCAGAUUAGCUUGUUAGGUGGGGUAACGGCCUACCAAGGCGACGAUCUGUAGCUGGUCUGAGAGGACCGAUCAGCCACACUGGGACUGAGACACGGCCCAGGACUCCUACGGGAGGCGAGCUAGUGGGGAAUAUUGCACAAU